rnacentral:lncRNA from 1 species
UGUGUUGUGUAUAUUAGGCACAUUUCAAUUCAAAUUUGAAUUUGCUUCUCUCACUUCUGUGGGUCUUGGAGUUGUGGAUAUAUUUUGUGGAGCGCGGAGCAUCGGGGAUUUGUGGAGUAUUGGAUUGACGUUUUCUUGGUGUUUUUUUUUUUAAGAUAUUUUCAUAGGCUACAAUGCCACCAGGAAGACCAAGACAAGACAGUGCUCAUGCCCGAAUCAUCGGCAACACAGGAUGGCAAACUUCGCCUCCCCUGGCUUGCAUGAAGCCUUGAUUUCCAUUUAAGGAAGUAAGUCUGUGCCCAAAUGGAUGAUGCACGUGUUGGGCAUUUUUGCAAAACAAAGCGGUUGAAAGGGUUCAUUUGCCGAGGCUGUAUGGAGUACGCUAAGCAAUGUCAUGCUGAUGGGGAGACGUGAGUAUGACAAUGAAACAGACUACAAUUCUUGGCAAAAGGGCUAGCAAAAUGCAUCAUUGAGUUUGACAAUUCUGUACCAGUCAUUGUCAAGCUGGAAAUCUUGGUAACGGUAAAGCUGGGGUCACCGUCAGCAUAUAGGUAUCAGUCGGGCAAACUGCAGAGAGGUAAUCUAAAAUAAGAUUUAUCUAAUUUAAGAAUAUGACGUCACCCAAAUGUGCUGAGUGAUGACCAUAUAAGGAGUGAUGAUCAAUAUUUAGACUAUAUUCCCGACAUGUCCACAUUUGAACCCUCCACAACCAUCGAAGAACUGCUCAUAACCACAAUAUUUGUUUUGCUGACUGACAGACAAAACAUGAUCCUACAAAUUGUGAACUGGCCAGCUCAUUUGAGAUUGGAAUUUGUCACUGGUGACCAAGAUAUUUGGGCAUUAGUAGAGCAGAUGUUACACAGAGGUUUUACAACUGAGGAGAAGUGCUCAUAUGCUUCUUGCUUCCAGAGAUGCUUCUUUUUAACACCAAACCAAACCUUACCUGACAUAAUCUAACCUACAAGUCAGCAUACAAACUAAAACCCUACAACCUACAAACCUACAGCUUUGCCUCUCCUUGGUUGGAAACCCUUCCUAUGAGCAUCCUGCUCUCUUUGCCUAUUUAUCUACUUGGUAAGCAUAAGCGCCUUCAUUUGACAUCUGCUCUACUAGUGCCAUUAAUGUUAAUUUGUAACCUAACCAAACCUAACCUAACCCAAACCCUGCUCAUAACUGUGAUAAGUUGCAGUCCUAACUCCUAACAUCACUUUGAUUCUCCUCAGCCAAUUACAUCAAGAGGGAGACCACACUGACAGGGGUCCAAGAUCCAACUCAGGCCCUACUACUGGCCGCCAGCGGACGGAGGCCCGGCGACGGACGCUAGCUCAAUGGCCAACAGUGGUCCGCCCGCCGGCUGAUGGUGGCUCGCCGACCGACGCCGGCCCGUCGGCUGACCACGGCAUUCCGGCUGAUGGUGGCCCGCCAGCCGACGGAGGUCCGCCGGCCAUUCGUGGCACGCCCGCCGACGGUAGCUCGACGACACGUCCUGGCUAUGUCACCCCCAAGAUUACUUCGCCCCCCAGUCCCUAGGUCACCAGUUGCGGGCGCUUCAUCUGACGGUGUCGUCCGACGGCUCCACGGUGACCAGCGCCGCCACUGCGGAAACCAUCCGACCCCGAAAAUGCUGCUAGCCGUACACGAACAAAGGGCGCCGGGCACCCAGGACCAGCGCCCUGCUCCGAGGCGGUGUCCAAAGAAGGCUGCACAGUGCACUUGCUGUGCUAAGGCAUAGUGCCCGCUGACUGAUAGGAACUGACGGUCAGUUAUCAGAUUUCAGUAUGGAACUCAAGAUGGUCGGAGCCGACCUGGCUCGGUGGAUGGUGUGCCAGGGUUGAUUAAGUGUCGAAAGGAGUGAGACGCCCAGAUAUGUGAAGGAUACGUCGAUACGAGCCCCGCCUUCGACUCCCCGUCCCAAAACGAUGUUGGUUGUGAUUGGAGGAUCCCCCACCCCCACCCCACCCACCCCGGAAUUUGUGCUAUGUAAUAGGACGAUAAUAUGUCGUGGUCUCAUUCUGGCUCGAUAUGGUAAUAGGUACUUAAUUGGACAGAUGUUGAUGGUAUUGGUGGUGGAUGUUAAUGGCAGGUUUGGCGAGCGCGAAUUAAUAAUCGUGAGUGCACUAGCUGCAAUCAGUCGCGCGCUUAUUGCUGAGCACCUGUGAGCAAGAAAAUUAUAUGAAUGUGGUAGUUCGUCGUGAAAUCUGUGUACUUUUGGAUUAAGUUGUCAGAACAUUAGUGUAUUUUUGCCGUGUCCACUGCAGCUCUGAAACAGCAACAUGGAGAUCGGCUGUGUGCUGUAGCUGCGGGGGCAAGUAGUCCGCGCGUGCCAAAAAAAUCAAAGGUGGUUUGUGAAUUUAAGUGAAUAUACCUCGCUAUAUUUUCAA